GGCACUUUGGCGGAGUGGUUAACGCGAUGCCCUGCUAAGGCAUUUCCUUUGGGAGCAAGAGUUCGAAUCUCUUAGGUGUCG
rnacentral:tRNA from 1 species